rnacentral:rRNA from 1 species
UACGUAGGGUGCAAGCGUUGUCCGGAAUUAUUGGGCGUAAAGAGCUCGUAGGCGGUUUGUCGCGUCUGUCGUGAAAGCUUGGGGCUUAACCCCAAGUCUGCGGUGGAUACGGGCAGACUAGAGGCAGGUAGGGGAGAACGGAAUUCCCGGUGUAGCGGUGAAAUGCGUAGAGAUCGGGAGGAACACCAGUGGCGAAGGCGGCAUCCUGGCCCUGUCCUGACGCUCAGGGGCGAAAGCGUGGGGAGCAAACCGG